rnacentral:rRNA from 1 species
GUCCACGCCGUAAACGAUGAGAACUAGGUGUUGCGGGUAUUGACCCCUGCAGUGCCGCAGCUAACGCAUUAAGUUCUCCGCCUGGGAAGUACGGUCGCAAGACUAAAAACUCAAAGGAAUUGACGGGGGCCCGCACAAGCGGUGGAGCAUGUGGUUUAAUUCGACGCAACGCGCAGAACCUUACCUGGUCUUGACAUCUACGGAACCUUAGUGAAAGCUAGGGGUGCCUUUCGGGGAGCCGUAAGACAGGUGCUGCAUGGCUGUCGU